rnacentral:misc_RNA from 1 species
GUCGACCUAACCUCAGGCCCAUGAACCUCAUCAAGCAAAACCUCGGCCAGAUUAUUAUUACCGUCAUUCCAGUCAUGGCGGGUUAGCCGACGUUUGCAAAAAACCCGCCCUGGAGGCGGGUUUU